rfam:Oryza barthii chromosome 8, whole genome shotgun sequence.
AAAAAGGCAAACCGUGGGUUUCCAUACCAAUGUUUAAUUGUCCGUCUUAUAUGAAAUUUUUUUAUAAUUAGUAUUUUCAUUGUUGUUAUAUGAUAAAACAUGAUAAAUACUUUAUGCGUGACUUAUCUUUUUAUUUUUUUUCAAUUAAGACGGACGGUCAAACAUUGGACACGAAAACUAGGGUUUGUCUUUUU